rnacentral:rRNA from 1 species
AUAAACCCGGGAAACUGGGUAUAAUACCCGAUAGAUCUCGGCUGCUGGAAUGCAUCGAGCUCUAAAGCUCCGGCGCCUGAGGAUGGGUCUGCGGCCUAUCAGGUAGUNAGUGGGUGUAGCGUACCUACUAGCCUACGACGGGUACGGGUUGUGAGAGCAAGAGCCCGGAGAUGGAUUCUGAGACACGAAUCCAGGCCCUACGGGGUGCAGCAGGCGCGAAAACUUUACAAUGCCGGCAACGGCGAUAAGGGGACCUCGAGUGCCAGGUUACAAAUCUGGCUGUCGUGAUGCCUAAAAAGCAUUGCAUAGCAAGGGCCGGGCAAGACCGGUGCCAGCCGCCGCGGUAACACCGGCGGCUCGAGUGGUAACCGUUAUUAUUGGGUCUAAAGGGUCUGUAGCCGGCCGGAUAAGUCUCUUGGGAAAUCCAGCAGCUUAACUGUUGGGCUUUCAGGAGAUACUGUCUGGCUCGAGGCCGGGAGAGGUGAGAGGUACUUCAGGGGUAGGGGUGAAAUCUUGUAAUCCUUGAAGGACCACCAGUGGCGAAGGCGUCUCACCAGAACGGACCUGACGGCAAGGGACGAAAGCUAGGGGCACGAACCGGAUUAGAUACCCGGGUAGUCCUAGCCGUAAACGAUACUCGCUAGGUGUCGGCCACGGUGCGACCGUUGUCGGUGCCGUAGGGAAGCCGUGAAGCGAGCCACCUGGGAAGU